rnacentral:rRNA from 1 species
AGCGCGGUGGUCCCACCUGACCCCAUGCCGAACUCAGAAGUGAAACGCCGUAGCGCCGAUGGUAGUGUGGGGCCUCCCCAUGCGAGAGUAGGG